rnacentral:rRNA from 1 species
UAUCUCUGUAGAGUCUGCAUAUCAAUAAGCGGAGGAAAAGAAACUAACUAGGAUUCCCUCAGUAACGGCGAGUGAAGCGGGAAGAGCUCAAAUUUGAAAUCUUCAAGGUUCUACCUUGACGAAUUGUAGUUUAAAGAAGUGUUUUCUGUUGGAGUUUUGGUAAAAGUUCUUUGGAAUAGGACAUCAUAGAGGGUGAGAAUCCCGUAUUUGACCAUUAUUUCCAGCUUUGUGAUACACUUUCAAAGAGUCGGAUUGUUUGGGAAUGCAGUCCAAAAUGGGUGGUAAAUUUCAUCUAAAGCUAAAUACUGGCGAGAGACCGAUAGCGAACAAGUACCGUGAGGGAAAGAUGAAAAGAACUUUGAAAAGAGAGUUAAACAGUACGUGAAAUUGUCAAAAGGGAAGCGUUUGACACCAGUGUUGUUUUUCUGAAAAUCAAUUAAAGAACUGUUUAUGCUAAGCUGUUUAGACUUUAUCAGCUACCUGUUUAGUUUUGAGCUUUUCUUUAAUGCACUUUUCAGUUAACAAGUCAACAUCAAUUUCUUUUGCUGUAAAAAAGCUUGAGGAAGGUGGCUUGAGAUUCGUCUUAAGUGUUUAUGGCCUCUUGCCUAUGCAGUCGGAGAGAUUGAGGUCUGCAGCGUAGAUCCUUCGGGGCUAAAUGCAUUUGUGCUAAGUUAUAGCAUUUAUAGACAACUUGUUGACUAUGAAUUGUCUUGUAGCUUACUCGCUUAUGUUAUUUUACCUACGCUUAGGAUGUUGACGAUCAGCUGAGCGCG